rnacentral:rRNA from 1 species
CCAAUGCUGAGGAAAUUGACCAACCGGGAUUGCCUUAGUAACGGCGAGUGAAGCGGCAAAAGCUCAAAUUUGAAAUCUGGUACCUUCGGUGCCCGAGUUGUAAUUUGGAGAGGGCAACUUUGGGGCCGUUCCUUGUCUAUGUUCCUUGGAACAGGACGUCAUAGAGGGUGAGAAUCCCGUGUGGCGAGGAGUGCGGUUCUUUGUAAAGUGCCUUCGAAGAGUCGAGUUGUUUGGGAAUGCAGCUCUAAGUGGGUGGUAAAUUCCAUCUAAAGCUAAAUAUUGGCGAGAGACCGAUAGCGAACAAGUACAGUGAUGGAAAGAUGAAAAGAACUUUGAAAAGAGAGUGAAAAAGUACGUGAAAUUGUUGAAAGGGAAGGGCAUUUGAUCAGACAUGGUGUUUUGUGCCCUCUGCUCCUUGUGGGUAGGGGAAUCUCGCAUUUCACUGGGCCAGCAUCAGUUUUGGUGGCAGGAUAAAUCCAUAGGAAUGUAGCUUGCCUCGGUAAGUAUUAUAGCCUGUGGGAAUACUGCCAGCUGGGACUGAGGACUGCGACGUAAGUCAAGGAUGCUGGCAUAAUGGUUAUAUGCCGCCCGUCUAA